CACCAUCCGUCGGUACUACUGAUUGAAUGGUUUAGUGAAGUCGUUGGAUUGGUGUAGUUGUAGUGACUUUGCCGCUCGACUAAUGUUGAGAAGAUGACCUAAUUUGACUAUUUAGAAGAAGUAAAAGUCGUAACAACGUUUUCGUAGGUGAACCUGAGGGAA
rnacentral:ncRNA from 1 species